GGGGUACUGUAAGUGGUAGAGUAGCCUUGUUGCUACGAUCCACUGAGGUUAAGCCCUUGUUCUAAAGAUUUGUUCAACUUUGUUGGACUUUCUCUUUUCUUUUUACAUGCUGAAACCUUGAGGGCCGGGAUAGUAUCCUUUGUGCACUCGCGACAGCAUGUUACUUGCGUUCGAACGGGUAAGCUAACAACAACUUUGUGUUUUGUUACCUUUCUCGUUUGAAUCAUGAGUUAUUAUGAGCCUUGAAGGCUUAGAAGGAACUUGGUUAGCAAGCUCUAAACGCGCGCUGACUUGGAACGGUCUUUGCCUUGUACUUGAUAUCGACCUUAUGGCCGAUAUCCCGCAUAUGGUAUAGCCAAGAUCCUUGAAAGAGCGAGUUAAUGAGUGAUUUUCUGGAUCGUCAGUGAGCUUGAAUGCCUGCCCUAAGGUUGCCAUGAAUGAAAUGGCCUUAGGAGCUAAGUAAGCUAAGCUACGGUUACCUUUCUAGCCGUUGUAACCGUUUACUUAGCUUUCUAGGGCUACGUUCAAACUUUGAACGGCAACUGGUCCUGAAUCGAAAGGUUUGCUAUGUAAACCUUUAGUCAAGACCUGUUUGCAACAAAUUUGGUGGCUGCAGGGCGAGUUUUCAUUGAUUUGGCCUAUAGCGAAAGUUGGU
rnacentral:misc_RNA from 1 species